UACAGAGGUGGCAAGCGUUGUUCGGAAUUACUGGGCGUAAAGGGCGCGUAGGCGGCCUACUAAGUCAGACGUGAAAUCCCCCGGCUUAACCUGGGAACUGCGUCUGAUACUGGCAGGCUUGAGUAUGGGAGAGGGAUGUAGAAUUCCAGGUGUAGCGGUGAAAUGCGUAGAUAUCUGGAGGAAUACCGGUGGCGAAGGCGGCAUCCUGGACCAUUACUGACGCUGAGGCGCGAAAGCUAGGGGAGC
rnacentral:rRNA from 1 species